rnacentral:rRNA from 6 species
UCUCCCUGAGACUUAGAGUCUCCUGAAGGAACGUUGAAGACGACGACGUUGAUAGGCCGGGUGUGUAAGCGCAGCGAUGCGUUGAGCUAACCGGUACUAAUGAACCGUGAGGCUUAACCUUACAACGCCGAAG